rnacentral:rRNA from 1 species
CCUACGGGGUGCAGCAGUGAGGAAUAUUGGUCAAUGGGCUUACGCCUGAACCAGCCAAGUCGCGUGAGGGAAGACUGCCCUAUGGGUUGUAAACCUCUUUUGUCAGGGAGCAAUUGGCGCUACGUGUAGCGUUAUCGAGAGUACCUGAAGAAAAAGCAUCGGCUAACUCCGUGCCAGCAGCCGCGGUAAUACGGAGGUGGCAAGCGUUGUCCGGAUUUACUGGGUGUAAAGGGCGUGCAGCCGGGAAGACAAGUCAGAUGUGAAAUCCCGCGGCUCAACCGCGGAACUGCAUUUGAAACUGUUUUUCUUGAGUAUCGGAGAGGUAAUCGGAAUUCCUAGUGUAGCGGUGAAAUGCGUAGAUAUUAGGAAGAACACCAGUGGCGAAGGCGGAUUACUGGACGACAACUGACGGUGAGGCGCGAAAGCGUGGGGAGCAAACAGGAUUAGAUACCCCAGUAGUC